rnacentral:rRNA from 1 species
AAUAUUGGUCAAUGGGUGAGAGCCUGAACCAGCCAUGCCGCGUGCAGGAAGACGGCCUUCUGGGUUGUAAACUGCUUUUACCGGGGGAUAAAAUUCUCUUGCGAGGGAAAUUGAAGGUACCCGGUGAAUAAGCCACGGCUAACUACGUGCCAGCAGCCGCGGUAAUACGUAGGUGGCAAGCGUUGUCCGGAUUUAUUGGGUUUAAAGGGUGCGUAGGCGGUCUUGUAAGUCAGUUCUGAAAUAUCCCGGCUUAACCGGGAGGGUGGGAUUGAUACUGCAGGACUUGAGUAGAUUCGAGGUAGGCGGAAUUGACGGUGUAGCGGUGAAAUGCUUAGAUAUCGUCAAGAACACCGAUAGUGUAGACAGCUUACUAGACUCAAACUGACGCUGAGGCACGAAAGUGUGGGGAUCAAACAGG